rnacentral:rRNA from 1 species
UACGAAGGGUGCAAGCGUUACUCGGAAUUACUGGGCGUAAAGCGUGCGUAGGUGGUGAGUUAAGUCUGUCGUGAAAGCCCCGGGCUCAACCUGGGAAUGGCGAUGGAUACUGGCUCGCUAGAGUGCGGUAGAGGAGAGUGGAAUUCCCGGUGUAGCAGUGAAAUUCGUAGAUAUUGGGAAGAACACCGGUGGCGAAGGCGGCCAUCUGGACCGCAACUGACGCUGAGGCGCGAAAGCGUGGGGAGCAAACAGG